rnacentral:rRNA from 1 species
GUCUAUGGUCAUACCACCCAGAAGGCUCCUGAUCUCCUCUGAGCUCAGAAGCUAAGCAGCGUUGGACCUGGUUAGUACUUGGAUAAGAGAACAACAGAGCACUCACCUUGCACA